GCCACUAGUGGUGCCAUGUUGAGAGGUGUCAAUGGUGGGGCCCACAGCUGGUUAUUUUUUCCCUAUAUAUAUCCCUGAAACACAAACAUAAAUUUGAGCAAAGGAACAUAAAUAAGAAGAUAGAGAGAAGAAAAAAAUAAAAGAAAACAAGAAGAAUGAUAAGGUAUUUUGGUUUAUUUAUUUUUAAAUAGAAUGUAGAGUCUUGUUAGUAAUUUUAUUAUUUGAAAGUUAUUUUGUUAGGUUAUUAAUUUUGUUAGCUUCUGAAUGAAAAAUUUUGCAUUAGAAUUUUUUUUGCAUUUCGAAACUGUUUUAAGAAUUUUGAAAUUUUUUUAACAGAUCUAGUAUUGAAGAUGGAGAAUCAGUUUUUUGUAUGCGUUUAUUUCGAUGGAGAAAUUUUGACAACAACCGUGG
rnacentral:lncRNA from 1 species